rnacentral:lncRNA from 1 species
CGGUCACCCAGUCAACAGUGUCCAUCAUAUUCACCUAUGUCUAAUCUAUCAUCAUUCCUGCUCAUUUCCCUUUGUAGAGUAGCUUUUGAAUCUCCACAACCACUUACCUAAUUCAAAACCACAUCAUCUAUAGACUCCUUUUUUGCAAAAAAAUCUCCAAAGAGGUCUCAGUGUGUCAUGUACAUUUGCAGAAGUAUUUGAGAAUAUUUAAUUCUACUGUAAAAGACAAACGAAGGAUGGCUGCAACUCAUAAGAAGUAUGAAAGGCAAAUCCACUGAGAAGUGGCUGGUAUUGUCCAAACCCACCAUGCUCUUCCUCCUGACUGCUUUGUGCAUGCUGCAUCUCCGGCUUGGAUGUCCUCUGCCCACUGCUUGCACCCCUUAUGCCAAUCCUGGACCCGCAGCUCCUUGGAUCACAUGUCUCAUUCAAACCACCCAGUCCUGCAGAGUAGGUUGGCCCUGUUCCAAUUUCCUCUCUCAUCCUGCAGCUCUGAACUGACUGGCUGGCUUGUGGGCAGAAUGGGUUGAAGCCCUGCGUGAGUUACAGAUGAUGAAUGCUUGGAAAGGAGGGAGCCAAAGGCAAAUCGUGCUCCACAUUGCAAAAUGUCUUCUUUCUCUGCACAUCUCAUUUUCCUUUUACCCUGCCCUGACACUCCAAAGCCAGUAAUGAGAAACCUGGAUUCAUUUUGUAACAGAAGACUGCACACUGUAGCUCUAAAUUGUGCCUUAAAAUUUUAAUAGCAGGCUAAAUCGAAAAACACAUAGGGAGCAUUUUGAAGAUGCCCUGCAGCUGGAUUUGUUUUAUGCUAGAGCAAUUUUGCUGCCUGACUGCUUCCUGCUGAAAGCACAGAGGAUGUGCUGAAAUGUUGCCACUGUAAACAAAACUAGAUCAGGCAGAAGCCUCUCUCCCGCACCCACAGACCUACCUUGUAAAUUGCUGGCAGCAGUGUUAUUUGACAGACACAGUGCUAGGAAGCAAGUGGCUUCAAAAAUAAGAAAUGAAAGGGAGGGAUUCCUCACAACAA